CCCUUAGAUGUUCUGGGCCGCUCGCGCGCUACACUGACGAAUGCAACGAGCUUAUAACCUUGGCCGAAAGGUCUGGGUAAUCUCCAAAUUUCGUCGUGAUGGGGAUAGAUUAUUGCAAUUAUUAAUCUUCAACGAGGAAUGCCUAGUAAGCGCAAGUCAUCAGCUUGCGUUGAUUACGUCCCUGCCCUUUGUACACACCGCCCGUCGCUCCUACCGAUUGAAUGGUCCGGUGAAGCGUUCGGACCGUGGCCUUUGGACGGUUCGCCGUCUGUUGGCUGCGGGAAGUUCGUUAAACCUUAUCAUUUAGAGGAAGGAGAANUCGUAACA
rnacentral:rRNA from 1 species